rnacentral:misc_RNA from 1 species
CAAAAAUAAAUAAAUAAAUAAAAAAGCAAGCAUAAACUUCGAUUCUUAUCAAUUUAAAGAAUCAGAAAAUGGGUAUCGUCUUUUCGUCAAGAAAUCGACUUCUUCAAAUGGAAAGCAAAAAAUCUGAAUGAGUUUCUCUAACUAUAGCUAAAACGUAUUUAUAAACAACAAAAAGCUUCAAAAGCAAUGAAUGAUGGACCAAGAUAGGAAACAUCAACAAACUAUAACGAAACGAUUACGCAAUGCUAAUGAGAAGAAUUAUAAUGAAUCAAAGACCGUAAUUUGACGACAAAGAAAAUGAAAUAUUCAAACAUUAACAAGUGCACGUAAAUAGAAAUUAGAUAAGACAAAACAAGUACUGAUCAAUGGCUGCUUAAUUAAG